UAAUUAUAUCGCACAAGAUAUUACAGAUCACAAUGAAUACGUAUUUGCUACAGUAUAUGAUGUUGAAUGGUAUGUCGCUCCAUUACACAUACAAAAAAUGAUGUUAUUUCUAUUGCAAAAAGGUACAAAAGCUUUUCGUUUGGUUCUCGGCGGAAUAUUCAUUGCGUCUAUGGAAAGUGCUGCUACGUUGAUGGGUACUUCAGUAUCUUACUUCACUGUUCUCUAUUCUACAAGUACAAAAUAAUAAUUGCAAAAUAAUUA